CCUACGGGAGGCAGCAGUGAGGAAUAUUGGUCAAUGGACGAGAGUCUGAACCAGCCAAGUAGCGUGAAGGAUGACUGCCCUAUGGGUUGUAAACUUCUUUUAUAUGGGAAUAAAACGUUCCACGUGUGGGAUUUUGUAUGUACCAUAUGAAUAAGGAUCGGCUAACUCCGUGCCAGCAGCCGCGGUAAUACGGAGGAUCCGAGCGUUAUCCGGAUUUAUUGGGUUUAAAGGGAGCGUAGGUGGAUUGUUAAGUCAGUUGUGAAAGUUUGCGGCUCAACCGUAAAAUUGCAGUUGAAACUGGCAGUCUUGAGUACAGUAGAGGUGGGCGGAAUUCGUGGUGUAGCGGUGAAAUGCUUAGAGAUCACGAAGAACUCCGAUUGCGAAGGCAGUUCACUGGACUGCAACUGACACUGAGGCUCGAAAGUGUGGGUAUCAAACAGGAUUAGAUACCCGAGUAGUA
rnacentral:rRNA from 1 species